rnacentral:rRNA from 1 species
CCUACGGGCGGCAGCAGUGGGGAAUAUUGGGCAAUGGGCGCAAGCCUGACCCAGCAACGCCGCGUGAAGGAAGAAGGCUUUCGGGUUGUAAACUUCUUUGACAGGGGAAGAGCAGAAGACGGUACCUGACGAAUAAGCCACGGCUAACUACGUGCCAGCAGCCGCGGUAAUACGUAGGUGGCAAGCGUUGUCCGUAUUUACUGGGUGUAAAGGGCGUGUAGCCGGGUUGACAAGUCAGAUGUGAAAUCCUGCGGCUUAACCGAAGGACUGCAUUUGAAACUGUUGAUCUUGAGUACUGGAGAGGCAGACGGAAUUCCUAGUGUAGCGGUGAAAUGCGUAGAUAUUAGGAGGAACACCAGUGGCGAAGGCGGUCUGCUGGACAGCAACUGACGGUGAGGCGCGAAAGCGUGGGGAGCAAACAGGAUUAGAUACCCGGGUAGUC